GACGAACGCUGGCGGCGUGCUUAACACAUGCAAGUCGAACGGUGAAGCGCCUUCCUUUUUGGUGGGUGUGGAUGAGUGGCGAACGGGUGAGUAACACGUGAGUAACCUGCCCCCUUCUUCUGGAUAACCGCAUGAAAGUGUGGCUAAUACGGGAUAUUCUGGGUCUGUCGCAUGAUGGGUCUGGGAAAGAUAUUGUUUCGGUGGGGGAUGGGCUCGCGGCCUAUCAGCUUGUUGGUGGGGUGAUGGCCUACCAAGGCGGUGACGGGUAGCCGGCCUGAGAGGGUGGACGGUCACACUGGGACUGAGAGACGGCCCAGACUCAUACGGGAGGCAGCAGUGGGGAAUAUUGCACAAUGGGCGCAAGCCUGAUGCAGCGACGCCGCGUGAGGGAUGGAGGCCUUCGGGUUGUGAACCUCUUUCGCCAGUGAAGCAGGCCUGCCUCGUUUGUGGGUGGGUUGACGGUAGCUGGAUAAGAAGCGCCGGCUAACUACGUG
rnacentral:rRNA from 1 species